rnacentral:rRNA from 1 species
ACCAAAGCUAGCUCAACAUACUAAACAAACACAAAAAUACACCAAAAUAAAAUAAAACAUUCACCUAACAUUAAAGUAUAGGAGAUAGAAAUUUUUAUCCUGACGCUAUAGAGACAAUAUUUUAAGGGGAUGGUGGAUGGGUUGAUUGUAAGUGGUGGAGAUUGAAUUUUGGUGGGUCUUUUUUUAGUUUAAUGGUUUAUUUGGGGGGUAUUUGGUUAUAACUGCCAUGGCUAUGUACCCUGAAACCAGACGAGUUUCCAAUAAGUGUUUUUGGAGCACUGGUUUGUUUGUAUGGUUUAUUAGUUGAAAGAAGAGGAAGUAGAAAUUAUAAGUUUAAUGGGCUUGGGGAUAAUUUAUGACACGGGAGGGUUUUUUAGUGAAGCUAUGGGGAUGCUUUAAUAGUUAUGGUACUUGAUUUAUUGUUACUGGCUGGUCUGGAGAGAGAUUACUCGUGGUAAUUAACCAUAUUGUUGUGCACCAAGGAAAGAUUAGGGAAUAUUUAGCCAUGUUUAUAAGCAUUCUCACGUUGUAGAAUAGGCUGAGCUGAGUACCAACAUAAUACUAUUGACCUGUUUUACAGCACCCUCUGAACAUACCAGAGCCUGAUUCGACUAAAAAAGAUAGUUGGUUUCAGUAACUUUAAUACCAGGAAAAUAGUAUACUUUCUCUAUUCCUAAGGAUCUUUGAGUAUCUUACCCAGAGGUCCUCCACUGAGAUAAUGAUCUUAAUGAUCACCAUGGCAGAGGUGAAAAGGCCCGCUGAAUUCAUUCCAGUUGUCCACAUGACAGAAAAUCCUGAUACUUGAUAGGUUUCCAGAUUGAGAAGACCAGAGAUAAGAGGGAAAUAGUACCCUGUAUGGAACAACAAGGGAUUUGGAGUCAGGGAUCCCAUUUCUGAAAAAUCCUCUGUGACUCAUAUCAUCUGAGUCCCUUUCUAAGUCUGAAAAUGUGCCUAAAAAUAUCUACACCCUAGUUGAGUUUAAGAGGCAAUGCUACAGAGAGCCAGUAUGAUGUCUCUCAAGAACAGGUGCUCAGCAUAAUUGGUCUAUUUCUUAGAACACAUGUUGAAUCCAUAUUCCUAUCACCAAUUUCAAACCUGAAGGAAGGCCAAGAAGUCGCUCUUGUGUCAUAUUUCACUAAGAAAUCAUGUUGUUGGACUGGUGAGCGAUAGCUCAUCACUAAGAGUGAGCUUCUAAUUACGGCCAUGUUGAGCUCAGACCAGAAAGGGCAGCUGGGCUGUCAUCACUAUGAGUGGCCCGUUCCAUAUGGCCAGAGCGCCAUAGCUCCACCAGAAAGGACAGCUGAGGGCACAGGCCCUGCCAGGUGUGGAGGCAGAACUCUGACUUACAACUCCUGUUUAUAAUGCUCUUCACACCUAUUGUGGUGAGCCCUCAUGUAGAAAAGGACUAAUUUCCAUUUGAGAUUCCCUCUUCGACCUUUAGGAUGUAGCAAAGUUUCCAUUUAAUUUUUAAACAUUGAAGUGGUUUUCUUUUCGCUAUGACUGUGGCUCAAUCCUGUGGUCUAAGAAGAAUCUAGUUAAUUUCAGGGUUACAUUUUAGACUUGAUUCAUGGCCCCACCUUCAUCUAUUGGGUAAAGAGUCUAUGACCACUUGAAAUAAUGUAU